rnacentral:rRNA from 2 species
UUAGAGUUUGAUCAUGGCUCAGAUUGAACGCUGGCGGCAGGCCUAACACAUGCAAGUCGAACGGUAACAGGAAUCAGCUUGCUGAUUCGCUGACGAGUGGCGGACGGGUGAGUAAUGUCUGGGAAACUGCCUGAUGGAGGGGGAUAACUACUGGAAACGGUAGCUAAUACCGCAUAACGUCGCAAGACCAAAGAGGGGGACCUUCGGGCCUCUUGCCAUCGGAUGUGCCCAGAUGGGAUUAGCUAGUAGGUGGGGUAACGGCUCACCUAGGCGACGAUCCCUAGCUGGUCUGAGAGGAUGACCAGCCACACUGGAACUGAGACACGGUCCAGACUCCUACGGGAGGCAGCAGUGGGGAAUAUUGCACAAUGGGCGCAAGCCUGAUGCAGCCAUGCCGCGUGUAUGAAGAAGGCCUUCGGGUUGUAAAGUACUUUCAGCGGGGAGGAAGGGAGUAAAGUUAAUACCUUUGCUCAUUGACGUUACCCGCAGAAGAAGCACCGGCUAACUCCGUGCCAGCAGCCGCGGUAAUACA